UAGUGGCCAGUGAAUAGUUUACAUUUUUAAAAUAAAGAGUAAACUUCAAAUACCGCCUAUGUGGUUUUGUACUUUUUUAUUUUCGCGUCUUAUGAUUUAAAGUGCAUAAAUUUAGUAUCCUGUGAUUUCAUUUUUUCUUUUCAUCAACCCAUCUGUUAACUUUUUUAAAUUAUAUACAAAAAAAACUUCAAAUUCCUGACAUAUAGUUUAUUGAAUGUUCACUUUAGUACCUUUUAGUUAUAACUUUGUUACUAAUUUAACAAAAAAAUUAGUAAAGGGGAAAACAAAAAAAGAAAUAUAAAAUCAAGGGUACGAAAGUAAUAUACUUUAAAAUACAUAAUACUAAAAUGAAAAAGUACGAAACUAUAGAAAUAGUAUUUAAAGUUUUUUCUAAAAUAAAUAAUCAAGUUUGGCAAAACAAAAGUAGAUGGAUUGUUGAUGCACUAACAAGAAUUAGUACUGUCCCUUGUCAUUUUAUACUGGCAAUGGGAAUAAAAAACCAACUCAUUUUCAUAUACAAUGAUGGUCCUAUUUUCACAGAACAUAAAUAUCUCCCGCUAACAAGAUUUUUAAUAGUGAUGGCCUUACAGGGCGUACAGUUUGCGAAUUUUAGAAACAACAAGAAUAUAAUCUUAAAUAGGUGAACAAUUUAUAAUGAACCACAUUCAUAUUGCAAUAGAUUGCCCAAGCUAAUAGCAUGUUGGUGCGUCACCUAGGAGGUCCGAAAUAAUAUGAUCUUUAGAAAAAUCUAACCGACCCCUUGCUAGCAGUCUUUACGAUCAAAUAAUUAAAGAAUCUGUGGCGGCAAAUUCUGUCUGCAAAACAACACUAACAGUCUACAAAAUUGUUUCUUUUAUUAUUAUUUUACGCUCAUCUUGCUUGAGGCCUUUCACUGUCUCACCCAUAUAGCCUAAUUCAUAUUUCGUAUGAAUGAAAUGGGUAGUAUACUAUAUCUUUCUAAAAAAACCGAAACAAGAAAUAAGCAUCUUAAAUUCUUAGACCUAUCCCUAUUCCUAUUCCCUAACCAAAUUAUGCCUUA
rnacentral:lncRNA from 1 species